rnacentral:lncRNA from 1 species
UCCUCUAUAUAUUUCUAGGAAUCCUAUAUUCUCCUGUAAUCGUUUACAAAUUUUUGAGAACAAGUCAUGGGAGGUUAAUUCUAAAGUAUAUAGAUUAACCUUCAAUAUAUUACACUCGUCAAAUCCUUCAAGUAUAUGUUAUUCUCCUAACAUCACUUGCUGGAAUCCUUUCUCUUAGUUGUACGCCACCUCCUCCCAAUCCUUUAAUUAUGCAUGUGCUAUACAAAACAAGAAAAAAAAUAGGUGAAAGGGUUGCCUCCUACCUAGCAGCGCCUGACCUUCCUCUCAGGAGGCUAACCCAGGGGUGCGUCCCAACCACUAUUAUGGAUUAUGGUCCAUAACACUAGCUAUGUGGCAUCUUCUCUCUCUAUUUUCUCAAUUUUAUCACUUGGUUGUGAUCAAUUUGAUGUAAUCUUUGGUAUGCUUUAUUGUGUGAUGAUUUUGACUUUGUAUUAACACUGGAUACAAACUAUUUUGAUUAUGUAUGCAUGAUUUAUUGAUGUAUAUGUUCUUUCAUCUAAUCGAAUAUCAUAAGAAGUCCAAUGUUCUAGCUUAUAUUUGUUAUAAUCGAUCUACAAUUGUUUGCAAAUUCACAUAUGUACCACUGUCAAACCGAAGGACCGAACAUGUCGGUGAGCAUAGGGGUGAGAGGGUCUAGUGGAAAGUCUUGAUAUAUGUAUAUCAUGUAUUCCGAAAAAAGAUUCCUUCAAUCAAAUAUUUAUUUUUAUUUUUGAGAAGCCAUCAGUCCACUCUUUAACCUACAUCAUGUGUGCACCACACUUUUUGCAUUUAUUUCCAUCAAAAAUUGCAACACUUCGAUCUACGAUCAUCCAUGGGAGGUGACCAGAGCCUGGCUAUGAGAUGUGUGUCAUCAUCUGUGGCAAGAUAGAAGACGAUUACACAAACAACAGACCACACUCAUGCACGCAACCUGAAGAAAAUGUCAGACAUCAUUUCAGUGAAAAUUGAAUUUCCACUUUUCCCCAAGUGCAACUAGGUGAAAAGGUGCAAGUUGCAUUAUUGGCUAAAAUGAACUCGUUCUUUUCAAAAUGAGUAGAUUCCUUAUACAUCAUAGACACUUUGUCCAUCCCAUGUGUCACUCAAUUUUUUUGACUCCCUAACAUAUUACUGAAUGUUUUCACCGGGUACUCAUAUGCCACUAACGUCUAUUUAUUGUCGAGUUGAAGUUCGAAGACAUUUUUUCCCUUGGCACAGCAGAAAACAAUCUAUGUGGUUUUUAUCUUUUCUAUUGGAUUUGUAAUUUGACCGGAGAAUGAACAACAUCAGUUUUUUCUUUUUUGCAAAGCCUAAAAACAAAUUAAGAUUUGACACAGGGCCUUUAGUCCCGGUUGAUACUUACAUAAAAAAAAUGAUAUUUUUGUACGAAAAGUUCAAAACUCUAUUUCGCAACAUUGUUUGUAAUGUAAAGAUUCACCUAUAUGCCCAAGUUCACCGAAUUAUCAUAAACUAUGGAAUGAAUAUGGUCAUCGUGUUGGUCAUUUGAGACCAAAUUUUAAAUGGAAAAAUUGUAUAAUAUGGCAUCAAAUGUAAAAGUUGUCAACAUAAAAUUAUCCAUCUCGUCAAAAUGAGCAACAUUGAUUUUGGAGGCAUCUUCAUCUAAGGUCGUGUGCAACCGCUACAGCCAAACAAAUGCAUUGUAGCUAAGACCCCCUUUUGCCGAGUGGGACACUUAGUAAAGACCCCCUUUUCCAAGUUUAGCACUCGGCAACGCCCUGUUUGCCGAGUUUUGUUGUUUUAGCGAGUGUUUCGUUGACGAUACUCGGCAAGUACGUGUUUGCCAAGUUUUAAUUUUUUCCGAGUACCUCUUUGGUAGGAACUCGGCAAACAUACUAUUGCCGACUGCCUAACAUAUUGCACUCAGCAAUGACGAAAAUUCCAGUAGUGAAGCUUUAAAGGAGCGAUGCUUGUGUUUAGCCAGUUUCUUGAACCAUUGGACUUGAUCAUGGAACAGCUGAGGAAGGAGUUCAACUGCAUUAAAUGCAAUGAGCUCCUGUAUAUGAGUGGAAACGUCUCUCUUAAAACCCGCAAGGCCUUGAUGGUGGACUUCAAUGAUAUCAAGAGCGAGGCCAAGGUGAUGCUUGCAUCGACCAAGGUGUGUGGAGAAGGUACCACCCUCUUUGGAGCGUCGUGUGUGGUGCUCCUCGAGGUUGUGUGGAACCCUUCUGCACAAAGGAGGGCGAUUGAAUGUGCAUAUCGAAUUGAUCAGCAAAAGAUUGUCCAUACAUACAAUCUAAUCGUAGAAGGAACACAAGAGAAGGGCAAAUAUGAUAUAUAAGCUAAGAAAGACCAAAUGUCCAAAUUGUUGUUUUCAAUUGAGGAACAGCCUGCGGAGCGCAACACGUCAUCAGAAUCUAUUUCCAAUGACAGGAUUUUGGAACAAAUGACAGAAGAUGAAAAUUUGAAAGAGAAUUUGGUGAAUAUUCUCCCAUCAUAGUGACAAUAGAACUUAUAGAUCUCUGUUAAGUGGGAGCUUCUAAGAUCAGAAUGUUGUAAUUUCCAUAUUUGUUUGCGGUACUUAUCCGAUUAUAUCAUUAGAGGAAAAGCAGGCGUUCCAUCCAAUUCUGAAUUUAUGGAUUCUUCAUCAAAAGAUGUAAAUUAUUUGCAAGGUAUUGAAAAUAGAAAUUAUAAAUUGAGAUCGUAUAUGUGGUACGCCUCCCUGCUGGAGCGAGCGUCAUAAUCCGCCGUGCCAUCCGAUUCCGGCUUCCUGGCCGUGCUACCGCACCAUGACUACCCGUUCGUAUCCCCUUUGGCUUGCCACUGACUCUCUCUAUCAGGCCAAGAAAGAGGGCAGCGGAGAUGGCAUCCUUGCAGCAGUGAGAUUGCACGAAGAAUUCGGAGUGGGAGGAGAUGAAGUGGUGAUGAGGUUCGGGGGCUCAUCUGUGUCAUUGGCAACAAGGAUGGAGGUGGUGGUGGGGCUCAGCCUUGGUCGUCAGGCAAUGACUAAGUAUACGUAUGUCUCCUCUAUAUAUUUCUAGGAAUCCUAUAUUCUCCUGUAAUCGUUUACAAAUUUUUGAGAACAAGUCAUGGGAGGUUAAUUCUAAAGUAUAUAUAUUAACCUUCAAUAUAUUACACUCGUCAAAUCCUUCAAGUAUAUGUUAUUCUCCUAACAUCACUUGCUGAAAUCCUUUCUCUUAGUUGUACGCCACCUCCUCCCAAUCCUUUAAUUAUGCAUGUG